GACGAACGCUGGCGGCGUGCCUAAUACAUGCAAGUAGAACGCUGAAGAGAGGAGCUUACUCUUCUUGGAUGAGUUGCGAACGGGUGAGUAACGCGUAGGUAACCUGCCUUGUAGCGGGGGAUAACUAUUGGAAACGAUAGCUAAUACCGCAUAACAAUGGAUGACACAUGUCAUUUAUUUGAAAGGGGCAAUUGCUCCACUACAAGAUGGACCUGCGUUGUAUUAGCUAGUAGGUGAGGUAAUGGCUCACCUAGGCGACGAUACAUAGCCGACCUGAGAGGGUGAUCGGCCACACUGGGACUGAGACACGGCCCAGACUCCUACGGGAGGCAGCAGUAGGGAAUCUUCGGCAAUGGGGGCAACCCUGACCGAGCAACGCCGCGUGAGUGAAGAAGGUUUUCGGAUCGUAAAGCUCUGUUGUAAGUCAAGAACGGGUGUGAGAGUGGAAAGUUCACACUGUGACAGUAGCUUACCAGAAAGGGACGGCUAACUACGU
rnacentral:rRNA from 1 species